GAUGAACGCUGGCGGCGUGCCUAAUACAUGCAAGUCGAGCGAACGGACGAGAAGCUUGCUUCUCUGAUGUUAGCGGCGGACGGGUGAGUAACACGUGGAUAACCUACCUAUAAGACUGGGAUAACUUCGGGAAACCGGAGCUAAUACCGGAUGAUAUUUUGAACCGCAUGGUUCAAAAGUGAAAGACGGUCUUGCUGUAACUUAUAGAUGGAUCCGCGCUGCAUUAGCUAGUUGGUAAGGUAACGGCUUACCAAGGCAACGAUGCAUAGACGACCUGAGAGGGUGAUCGGCCACACUGGAACUGAGACACGGUCCAGACUCCUACGGGAGGCAGCAGUAGGGAAUCUUCCGCAAUGGGCGAAAGCCUGACGGAGCAACGCCGCGUGAGUGAUGAAGGUCUUCGGAUCGUAAAACUCUGUUAUUAGGGAAGAACAUAUGUGUAAGUAACUGUGCACAUCUUGACGGUACCUAAUCAGAAAGCCACGGCUAACUACGUG
rnacentral:rRNA from 1 species